rnacentral:lncRNA from 1 species
AUGCUGAUGAUCAUCAACCACCAGUUUAGGGUCCAGAACUCUGGACUUGUAUUUCCAUCUGCAUCCUGGACACCUUCCAUCUUAGGUAAGUUCCAACAAAAAAUUUCUCAAGGGUGCAUGUUUUCCAUUUCUUACAGCAUGGAGCUAUUUUUAUUAAACGAUGGAAUGUUAUUACCAUCUUUAAGUUUGCAGUCCUAUAUUCCACCACAGUCUGACCUAAUUCUGCCAGAAUCUGGAGCACGGCAGAACCUGAGAGUGGUCGACGGGACCAGCAGGAUGAGAGCAACCAGUCCAGAUUGGAGCGGGAAGGUGGAGGACUCCAGCAGGGAGGGAGCUGGAGAAUAUGGACUCAAGAAAUUUGAUCUCCUGGAGAAUUUAGAAAAAGUUAAAGAGGUAAUGAAAGCCUUGUUCCCUUCUGAAAAACCAUUGUCUUUCAUUUCUAAAAAAUUGCUUCAAAAUCUUUUCCUGAUGAAUCUACACUACCAUUUUCUCCUCUUCUCUGUAUCCAUUCAAGGAAGUGCUCAGGAGAUGGAUCUCUCAGAAGAGCCUACCUACUCAGAACUUGGAGGUGUCACCAGGCGCAGUGGCUCAUGCUUGUAAUCCCAGCACUUUGGGAGACAGAGGUGGGUGGAUUGUUUGAGCUCAGGAGCUUGACACCAGCCUGAGCAACAUGGUGAAACCCCGUGUCUACCAAAAAUACAAUAAUUAGCCAGGCAUGGUGGCCUGCAUCUGUAGUCCCAGCUACUCUGGAGGCUGAAGUAGGAGGAUCGCUGGAGCCUGGGAAGUUGAGGCUGCAGUGAGCCAUGAUUGCACCUCUGCAUUCCAGUCUGGGUGACAGAGCAAGACCCCUGUCUCAAAAAAGAAGAAAAAGGA